UGGGAGCGUGGCGGAAUUGGUAGACGCAGCGCACUCAAAAUGCGCCGCCUUCGGGUUUGUCGGUUCAAGUCCGACCGCUCCUAU
rnacentral:tRNA from 3 species